rnacentral:rRNA from 1 species
UGGGGAAUUUUGGACAAUGGGGGCAACCCUGAUCCAGCCAUCCCGCGUGUGCGAUGAAGGCCUUCGGGUUGUAAAGCACUUUUGGCAGGAAAGAAAAGGGCCUGGUUAAUACCUGGGUCAAAUGACGGUAACUGCAGAAUAAGCACCGGCUAACUACGUGCCAGCAGCCGCGGUAAUACGUAGGGUGCGAGCGUUAAUCGGAAUUACUGGGCGUAAAGCGUGCGCAGGCGGUCCGCUAAGACCGAUGUGAAAUCCCCGGGCUUAACCUGGGAACUGCAUUGGUGACUGGCGGGCUAGAGUGUGGCAGAGGGGGGUAGAAUUCCACGUGUAGCAGUGAAAUGCGUAGAGAUGUGGAGGAAUACCGAUGGCGAAGGCAGCCCCCUGGGCUAACACUGACGCUCAUGCACGAAAGCGUGGGGAGCAAAC